AUGACCAAGGCUCUUCUGAACGAGAGCCUGGCAGAUUGCAUGAAAGCGGGCUUAAGUCCUUUCUGCAAGGCUAACCCGGCUCCAGCGGCUGGUGAUAAAUUCUGGAAGGUCAAGUAUGACCAUGAGGCUGCAAAGAAAGCCAGAAAGGCCAAGAAAGCCGCCAGGAAAGCCGCUGCCCGUAAGAAGGGGAACAAACCUAGCGCCUCGGAUAUGUUUCAUCUGGACGAUACCUCCCAGUCAGAGGAGGAUACAGGAGCAAGUCAUGCAGUAAUUGAAGAGGUAACUAUAAUUUCCUCCGACUCCGAGCCUUUGCCGAGACAGAAAGUCUGA
rnacentral:rRNA from 1 species